rnacentral:rRNA from 1 species
GGAAGUAAAAGUCGUAACAAGGUCUCCGUUGGUGAACCAGCGGAGGGAUCAUUAUAGAGUUUUUUAAACUCCCAACCCAUGUGAACUUACCAUUGUUGCCUCGGCAGAAGCUACCCGGUACCUUACCUUGGAACGGCCUACCCUGUAGCGCCUUACCCUGGAACGGCUUACCCUGCAGCGGCUGCCGGUGGACUACCAAACUCUUGUUAUUUUUAUGUUAUCUGAGCGUCUUAUUUUAAUAAGUCAAAACUUUCAACAACGGAUCUCUUGGUUCUGGCAUCGAUGAAGAACGCAGCGAAAUGCGAUAAGUAAUGUGAAUUGCAGAAUUCAGUGAAUCAUCGAAUCUUUGAACGCACAUUGCGCCCAUUAGUAUUCUAGUGGGCAUGCCUGUUCGAGCGUCAUUUCAACCCUUAAGCCUAGCUUAGUGUUGGGAGCCUACUGCUUUUGUUAGCUGUAGCUCCUGAAAUACAACGGCGGAUCUGCGAUAUCCUCUGAGCGUAGUAAUUUUUUUCCUCGCUUUUGACUGGAGUUGCAGCGUCUUUAGCCGCUAAACCCCCCAAUUUUUAAUGGUUGACCUCGGAUCAGGUAGGAAUACCCGCUGAACUUAAGCAUAUCAAUAAGCGGAGGA